UACGUAGGUGGCAAGCGUUGUCCGGAUUUACUGGGCGUAAAGAGCGCGCAGGCGGUCGUACAAGUCGCGUGUGAAAGCCCCCGGCUCAACUGGGGAGGGUCACGCGAUACUGUUCGACUCGAAGGCAGGAGAGGGAAGUGGAAUUCCCGGUGUAGUGGUGAAAUGCGUAGAUAUCGGGAGGAACACCAGUGGCGGAGGCGACUUCCUGGCCUGUUCUUGACGCUGAGGCGCGAAAGCUAGGGUAGCAAACGGG
rnacentral:rRNA from 1 species